rnacentral:rRNA from 1 species
UACGUAGGGUGCAAGCGUUGUCCGGAAUUAUUGGGCGUAAAGCGCUCGUAGGCGGUCCGGUAAGUCCGCUGUGAAAGUCGGGGGCUCAACCCUCGAAUGCCGGUGGAUACUGUCGGGCUAGAGUGCGGAAGAGGCGAGUGGAAUUCCUGGUGUAGCGGUGAAAUGCGCAGAUAUCAGGAGGAACACCUAUGGCGAAGGCAGCUCGCUGGGACGUUACUGACGCUGAGACGCGAAAGCGUGGGGAGCAAACAGG